GCCAGACUCCUACGGGAGGCAGCAGUGGGGGAUAUUGCACAAUGGGGGAAACCCUGAUGCAGCGACGCCGCGUGAGUGAAGAAGUAUUUCGGUAUGUAAAGCUCUAUCAGCAGGGAAGAAAAAAGACGGUACCUGACUAAGAAGCCCCGGCUAACUACGUGCCAGCAGCCGCGGUAAUACGUAGGGGGCAAGCGUUAUCCGGAUUUACUGGGUGUAAAGGGAGCGUAGACGGCAAUACAAGUCGGAAGUGAAAUACCCGGGCUUAACCUGGGAACUGCUUUGGAAACUGUAUGGCUGGAGUGCUGGAGAGGUAAGCGGAAUUCCUAGUGUAGCGGUGAAAUGCGUAGAUAUUAGGAGGAACACCAGUGGCGAAGGCGGCUUACUGGACAGUAACUGACGUUGAGGCUCGAAAGCGUGGGGAGCAAACAGGAUUAGAUACCCCCGUA
rnacentral:rRNA from 1 species